rnacentral:rRNA from 1 species
CAGUCGCCGCGGUAAAACGUAGGUGGCAAGCGUUGUCCGGAAUUAUUGGGCGUAAAGGGCUCGCAGGCGGUUUCUUAAGUCUGAUGUGAAAGCCCCCGGCUCAACCGGGGAGGGUCAUUGGAAACUGGGAAACUUGAGUGCAGAAGAGGAGAGUGGAAUUCCACGUGUAGCGGUGAAAUGCGUAGAGAUGUGGAGGAACACCCGUGGCGAAAGCGAGGCCCUGGACCUUUUCUGACGCUGAGACGCGAAAGCCAGGGGAGCGAACGGGAUUAGAUACCCCGGUAGUCCCUGUCUCUUAUAA